rnacentral:lncRNA from 1 species
UUACAUCAUUAUCAUCGACCUCCACGCGCGCGCGCGACAGCCCGCCCGCACAGUCCACCCGAACCUAUAAAAAACGACCGUGUCACCACUGAUAGGUUAAAAGUGUGUGAGCUUAACGAGAGACGACAGUAACGUCAAAUUACAGGACUCACUUCUCGCUCAGGAACCGCGGGGGAAAGCAAGACAGAUCGUGCAGCGAAUGCUAGAGGAGUGGACACACUGUUACCAAUUGAUCAGGUAGUUUAUCAACGGCGGAUCAGCUGUAGUGGUACAAGUUUAGGUGUAUUGUGAGAUAAACCGGUGGAAACAAUGAAUAGUCUUUGUCACGUGAUCGUCCUGUCGGCCGCCUUUUGUUUACUCCUGGCGCUAGCGUCCGGGUACCCGCUCCAGGAACCAGGAAACGCGCUGACAGAAGACAUGAUGGAGCGCCGCAGCGCCGCACAGAGAUUCACCGUCGAUGAACUCCUAAAUUUCCUAAACGAACGGUACCAGGAAACACCAGAUAAACGGCAGAUGCGGCAAACAGGACUUAGUGCCAUUGACAACGUGAAAGGGAUGUACUACAAUGACAAGAUGAACAGAGUGUUGGCCGCCAUCCAACGCCACAUGAGCAGACGUUAAAGGGUUCUUGCAAGGGAGCAUUGAGUGGUCUCAUCAGUUAUUUGCGACGUGACGUCACGGACUUGGGAAACACUGGCCGAUCAGGAAUGGGCGGCAACUCUUUUAUUUUACCUUUUGUUUGGCGGGGGGGGGGAGCAACAUUAGGGGCAUCCUGAAACAAUAAACAUGUUGUGAAGUUGCAUACCGUUCGAGGAAAAAUCAGUUACUUGUGUUUAACACGAGCUUGUAUAUGGAAUAACCAAGUGCUCUCUGAGAUAUAUUUAGCGCACUUAACCUACAAAAGACUUAAAACCCCAGGAAUUUUUCAAUUCAAAGAUUUGGAAAGAAAACCUCAAUGAGAGAAGAUUUUCACUCUAAAUUUAGUCUGGAAUAUAUAUUUUAUGAAUGUUGCUUCGAUGCUUAGCGGAGGGUAUAGCCAGAAAUCGGGUGUUAUGUUAUUUGUUAAAAAACAUAAAAACAUUGUAAUUAUUUUCACAUGGAGCAUAAACAUUUUUCAGAUAACCUUUUCUUUAGGUGUGAUUAAUUUAUCUUAAUAGCAAAUAGCGUUUCUUCUGAACACGAAGCGGUAUUUAAUUUGCUAGUCACAUUUUUGUCUUCAUUUUUCCACCAUGCGAACUGCAUCAUACAUUUCACAUGUAUUUGUUUUUGCUGUUAGCAUGUGUUUCGCACAUCCUCAUGCAGUGAUUCACACCGUAUAACUGUUCAACUUUUUAUUUUAAUAUAGCAUCUGUAUAUCUCUGCCACAGUGUCGACAUAAAGAAUCGCUAUACCGAAACGCAUAUUCGCCUUAACUCAUCUUAACUAAUAGAAGUAGGCCUACUCCUCAAAAUUUUAAUGAAAUAGUUUAGUUUAAUCUUACCAAUUAACAUUACACAUGCAACCUAAAACAAAGCUUAAAACCACCACAAAUUAUUGUAGUGGCUUCUAAACCAAAUAUUUGCUCUGUUCCUAUGCACAAGCGCACUUCCACUACCAGAAAGCUAACUUAUACCCUUAACUCAUCCAUUUGAAAGGUGACUGCACUAUUAAAGUCUCUCAUUGCAGUCAGACAACGACCACGGCAAUUCUGUCAGAAUGACCUUUGAUGCAAGGGUAUCUGAAAAACCACACGUGCGCACUACUAAUGAGCAGCCCGUUCCGCGCGUACGCGUAUUCGGGAGCUAAGCCAAUCAGACUCUAGGAAAGGCUGUGUAGUCAAGGCCCAAAGCAACCAAUGAGUUGUCAGGAGUUUUAAGAGCGCGUUUCCUGUCCUUGUAUACAUAAUUGAUACGAGAUGAGCUCUUCGGGGUAGGCAAAAGCCUUGAGGACGGGCAAUUUGUAAAUCCCAUUAAGGCAAAAUAACUCUCAGUUUACCAAGUAAUUGCAAUGUUUUAAUCACUUAAAUUUAAUGUACGGUAAUUCAUCAAUGUAAUUAUCGUAAGAUGAGUUGUCAAGCCCAUGCCUUUUGGAGAAUUCUACCAGGCUGUAAAGUAAAGUACUUCAUAUAAAUUACUCCAAAAGAAACACUGCUAAGUUAACCUUGAAGGUGUAUUUUAUGCAUAUCCAAAAAAAUAGAGUAUUAUUAUUUAAGUAAAAAGUAAAUACCGCUGUUAUAUCCUGGCUAAGGCUAGUAGAAUAUAUUUUUGUCGAUCCGUGCCUUUUCGUAAAGGUACCAAUUCGCGUUUUAAAAGAGCUUAAACAAUUAGUUAUUGCAAUGUACAUAUUUCACAAGUAGUUUUGUUAGAGCCGCGUGUUAUCUGCGAUAGCACUGUUUCAGGCAGCAGAAAAAUAAUAUUGGGGUUUUUCAAAAUGUUGUACAAGUUUCGUUCAGUGUGUAAUUAUCAUGGAACAUAAUAUAGGGGCAAUUUUGGGUAAAGAAUGGUAUACAAUAAACCACGAAUACAGACUCAGUAUAAUA